CAGUGCUCUGGAGGCCGGUCCGUGCCGCUCCCCUUCGGGGGUCCGGCGGGGUCCGCGCCCCCUCCACACGUGUCUACCACACUCUGUUGCCUUGGUGGGUCUGCCCCUGUGGCUGCCGGGGAUCGCCGCUGGCGUCCCGGGCCCGUAUCCACCGAUGGACACCCUGAACCCUCUGUGAAUCUAGUAUGUCUGAGCGUUAAAGCAAAUGAAACA
rnacentral:misc_RNA from 1 species